UGUAGGAGCGGGCUUGCUCGCGAUGCAAGCGCUGCGGCAUGCCAGAAAAGUCGCAGUGAUACCAUCGCGAGCAAGCCCGCUCCCACA
rnacentral:misc_RNA from 1 species